AAAUACACUUUCUGUCUCUGUCUACAGAAUGACUCAAGAUUUCUUUGCUCCAUGGAAAAGUAGGAAGACAGAAAAGAUGCAGCAUGGUGAAUCCUGAACCUGCAGCCAUCCGAUUGACCGCCAUCAGUCAUUUGCAGGCUCUCAGCAUUUUGGCCCCACAUAUGUACUCUCCUCCUGCUGUUCAGAAAGCCCUGCCCAGCUGCACACCUCGUUAUGCCCUGUGGCUGGGCUAUUUUAGGAAAACUUCCUCUAAAGAAAUAACAAAAUCAACAGGCUCUAACUAUUCUACCCAUGGGGCUGAGAAAGUAAAGGCUAAGUGCUAGAAAGGUACAGCAAAGCACUCAGAAGACAACUGGCUUGUCCUUUCUCUAAAUAUCACCAUUCUCCUAGAUCCAGGCAGGGCACUUUAGGUUUUGCGUGGUGUCAUUUGUGCGCAGUGCCUCAGCCAUUUUACAGAGAAAGCCAAUUGCAGCCUGAAGAGGGAAGAAAGGUUUUCCGUCAUGAUUUGAAGAAAGAAAUAACAGACUGAAGUGUGUGGGGGGGGGGGCAGGGGAAUAGCCCAGAGAGUAGGGCUGGGCAAACUGUGCCAGCUAAAACUUCCUUUGGGCUCACCCUGCUAAUUCAAGCUAUCAUGUGUUUUAACAUUUAUUUUCUAUUCAGCCUUCAUGGUUAGUGUUUAGUAUUUGCGGAAAUGAGCGUGAGCAGGAGUAGUAAAGGUCAUAGAAGGAGUUAAGUGCUAACUUAAAAAUAUGGGAAGAGGUAAGUAGAUUAAACAGCCUAAUCCAGUCCUGCUGGACAUGGACUGACCU
rnacentral:lncRNA from 1 species